GUGCCAGCAGCCGCGGUAAUACCGGCAGCCCGAGUGAUGGCCGAUCUUAUUGGGCCUAAAGCGUCCGUAGCUGGCCGCACAAGUCCAUCGGAAAAUCCACCCGCCCAACGGGUAGGCGUCCGGUGGAAACUGUGUGGCUUGGGACCGGAAGGCGCGACGGGUACGUCCGGGGUAGGAGUGAAAUCCUGUAAUCCUGGACGGACCGCCGAUGGCGAAAGCACGUCGCGAGGACGGAUCCGACAGUGAGGGACGAAAGCCAGGGUCUCGAACCGGAUUAGAAACCCCCGUAGUCC
rnacentral:rRNA from 1 species